CACGUAGUUAGCCGGGGCUUCUUAGUCAGGUACCGUCAUUUUCUUCCCUGCUGAUAGAAGUUUACAUACCGAAAUACUUCUUCCUUCACGCGGCGUCGCUGUAUCAGGGUUUCCCCCAUUGUGCAAUAUUCCCCACUGCUGCCUCCCGUAGGAGUUUGGGCCGUGUCUCAGUCCCAAUGUGGCCGUUCACCCUCUCAGGCCGGCUACUGAUCGUCGCCUUGGUGAGCCCUUACCUCGCCAACCAGCUAAUCAGACGCGGGUCCAUCUCAUACCACCGGAGUUUUUCACACCGUCCCAUGCGAGACCGUGCGCUUAUGCGGUAUUAGCAGUCAUUUCUAACUGUUACUCCCCCUGUAUGAGGCGACGGUUACCCACGCGUUACUCCACCCGUCCGCCACUCAGUACAAAUAAGACUUACAAACCGAAGUAAUCCGUCUUAAGUGCUUCGUUCGACUUGCAUGUGUUAGC
rnacentral:rRNA from 1 species